rnacentral:lncRNA from 1 species
CAUGAAUUUUAUUAUUUUUCCAUCUAUGUAUAUGUAUGUUUUAAGAAAAAGAUAUAACGAUUUCAAAAAUUCUUAAAUAGCUAUGAACGAAUUCCUUCAGAAAAGGUCAAUAUCCGGAGCUAGCAUCCAUACGAAAUAUGGACUCAUUAGAUGAAUCUCUUCGGAAAAGUCAACAUCCAGAGCUAGCAUCCACAUGAAACAUGGCUCCAC